rnacentral:rRNA from 1 species
AGUGAACGCUGGCGGUAGGCCUAACACAUGCAAGUCGAACGGCAGCACAGUAAGAGCUUGCUCUUACGGGUGGCGAGUGGCGGACGGGUGAGGAAUACAUCGGAAUCUACUUUUUCGUGGGGGAUAACGUAGGGAAACUUACGCUAAUACCGCAUACGACCUACGGGUGAAAGCAGGGGAUCUUCGGACCUUGCGCGAUUGAAUGAGCCGAUGUCGGAUUAGCUAGUUGGCGGGGUAAAGUCCCACCAAGGCGACGAUCCGUAGCUGGUCUGAGAGGAUGAUCAGCCACACUGGAACUGAGACACGGUCCAGACUCCUACGGGAGGCAGCAGUGGGGAAUAUUGGACAAUGGGCGCAAGCCUGAUCCAGCCAUACCGCGUGGGUGAAGAAGGCCUUCGGGUUGUAAAGCCCUUUUGUUGGGAAAGAAAAGCAGCAGGUUAAUACCCCGAUGUUCUGACGGUACCCAAAGAAUAAGCACCGGCUAACUUCGUG